GUCGGUGUAGUAUAAUGGUUAUUACACGUCCUUGCCAAGGAUGAAACGAGGGUCCGAUUCCCUUCACCGGCU
rnacentral:tRNA from 1 species